GUGGUGUUUUGACACCCAGCUGGAUAUUUAUUUAUUUUUACAAUGUACAACAUAUAAAAACAUAGAAAAAGUUCACAGUGUAUAAAGGCAGUGAUCAUGUGUUGUAAAUUCAUUUUCUUUUUUAUUGCAUAGAGAACUGUCUGCAUUCAGAAAAUGCAGCAUCCAUGCAACAUCAGCGUAAAAAAGCGGCAUUAGCAAGUGUCCAGCUCCAGCACGUGUGACGUCCGGUUCUGCUCUCGAACCUCCCAUCAUCAGAAACAAUGUAAUGCCUCAUUCAACAUCAAGCGAGAUGCAUUUUUGUAUUUUGCAUUAAAGUUCAUCUGGGCUCAUAGUAAAGAAUAAACAAAAUAUUUCAUAAAACAUAUAUUAACGUACACACACUGCUGGACAGAAACAAACUGUCAUACACAAGACAGUAUCAAUUUGAGUACUCUAGUGUACAGAAGUGUUCUUUCAUUUUCUUAUGUUUGCUGUGGAGUUAUAGCAGGGAAAAAAUACCUGAUUCCAUCAAAAAGAAUCAUCAUUUGUGUAUAAAUAUAUAAUGCCUGCUACAAAUAUACAUACAUACUUACAAACGUACAUCCCUUUAGGUUCAAUAACACUCGCACAGAGCUAUUUCAUACUGCCAUGCUCCAGUAACAAUUGAUUUUAAAAGAAUAAUUAACCAAAAUUUAAACACUCUGUCAUUAUUUACCCAUCCUCAUAUUGAUUAAAACCUGUAUGACUUUCUUUCUUCCAUGGAACAGAAAAAAAAAAAGUUUAGCAGAAUGUGUGAGCCACUCUUUUAUGUAAUCUUGAUGCUCCAAGUUUAAAUAUGUACGCAUGAAAUUUAAGAGCUUUUAGCAAAACCUUUUUUUUUUUUUUUUUCAGUCAGCCAACACAAAUCUAUUGUAUGGAUCCAGAAGACUUGGAAUAUAGUGCAGAAGUCAUAUGGGCUACUUUUAUAAUACUUUUAUAGUGCAUUUGGGAGCUUGACAGGCCACUGAAUAGUUCACUGUAUGAAAAGAGCAGCAUGAACAUCCUUCAAAAAUCUUCCACUUAAGACAAUAAACUGAUGGCAAAACCAUUGUUUUUUCAUACACUGGACAAUUGUGAGAUUUUGGGAUAUUUUCCAUCUGAUUUGUGGAAAGAAAACAUUGAAAAUGCACAUUUAAAGGGUUAGUUCACCCAAAAAUGAAACUUCUGUCAUUAAUUACUCACCCUCAUGUUGUUCCAGACCUGUAAGACCUUCUUCAGAACACAAAUGAAGAUCUUUUUGAUGAAAUCUGAGAGCUUUUUGUCCUUCUAUUGACAGCUACACAACUACAGAACUACUGAACAGAAGCUCAGUUGAACCAGCUUGAUGCUCGAGAACAAGCCUCAUUGGUUCUUGCGGAAGCUCAAAUGUGCUGCGUAACAUUGGAUUUCCACAUCAAGCAAACAUGCUUGAGCUUCCGUUUACCACAACUGAAGCUGAUGAAUGUUUAUAUGUGAAUAAAAGCCUAAAUUAAAUCUGUUCAUCAAAUAAAGCAAUCGUUUCUCUUGAGAAAAUUUGGACUUAACCACUCAAUUCAUAUGGAUUAGUUUUACGAUCUCUUUAUGAACUUUUUGAAGCUUCAAAGUGGUAGUUGUGUUGCAAUCAAUGGAGGGACACAAAGCUCUCAGAUUUCAUCAAAAAAGAUCUUCUUUUGUAUUCCGAAGAUGAACGCAAGUCUUGCGGGUUUGGAACGACAUGAGGAGAGCUUCCUCCGUGUGCAGACCAAUGCAGAUAUCACCAGAAUGAGCAGGGGCUGGGUUAGAGCAGGUACGGGAGCGCUGGUAGUGACCACCGCCACAGGAAGUAGAGCACUGAGACCAGGAAGACCAGCACGACCACGCCCCCUUCACUGAAAAACAACACCCAUUAUUACACUACCCCUUGCAGCAAGACGUUUAAAGCCAGUUAUUACACGGCUCUCUGGAAUACUUGAUUCUGAUUGGUCAGUCGCGACAUUCCGAGGUGUAUUCUCCCAUAACAACCUUCGUCAAUAGCAAUGCUGAAUAACAUACCACCCGUCUGGGUAUCUGAAGCCUGCGCGUUCUGCUGCCAUCUUGCGUUUCUGUUAAAUGUAUAAAUUGUAUUGAAAAUACUUCAGUAUUAAUAGUAUUGUAAUAUUGUUGCUGUGUUCAUCUUCUUGCAAGGAUUGUUUUGUACACUGUAAUGGAUUAUAAGAUAAUAAACAGGUAAGAUUUCAAA